CCUACGGGAGGCAGCAGUAAGGAAUAUUGGACAAUGGGCGCAAGCCUGAUCCAGCCAUGCCGCGUGAAGGAUUAAGGUCCUCUGGAUUGUAAACUUCUUUUAUAGGGGACGAAAAAAGGGCAUUCUUGCUCACUUGACGGUACCCUAUGAAUAAGCACCGGCUAACUCCGUGCCAGCAGCCGCGGUAAUACGGAGGGUGCAAGCGUUAUCCGGAUUCACUGGGUUUAAAGGGUGCGUAGGCGGGCAGUUAAGUCAGUGGUGAAAUCUCCGAGCUCAACUCGGAAACUGCCAUUGAUACUAUCUGUCUUGAAUAUUGUGGAGGUAAGCGGAAUAUGUCAUGUAGCGGUGAAAUGCUUAGAUAUGACAUAGAACACCUAUUGCGAAGGCAGCUUACUACGCAUAUAUUGACGCUGAGGCACGAAAGCGUGGGGAUCAAACAGGAUUAGAUACCUGGUAGUCACGCCCUAAACGAUGGAUACUCGACAUACGCGAUACACUGUGUGUGUCUGAGCGAAGCAUUAGUAUCCCACUGGAAGUACGUCCGCAAGGAUGAAACUUAAAGGAAUUAGACGG
rnacentral:rRNA from 1 species